AUAUGGGCAGGCUUUGAAACUUCAUGAUUAAUCACUCAUCUAAUCUCAUCACAUCUCCUAUUCUGCUUCUCCCAAAACAACCAUGGCAGCAGCUUAUGCAACUCUUGUUUCUGCUAUGAAUAUCAUAAACAACCUUCACCAUCAUCCUCGCCCUCCUGUUUCUCUCCACGUUAAACAAGUUGAUUCUCUCACUCAAAAGAUUAAUUUCCUGCUCGAAUUUCUCCAAGGCUAUAACCCCCAUCGUGACUACUCCAAAGAAGCGGAUCCAUUGGAGUGUCGCAUUGCAGAUGCAGCUUAUGCGGCCGAACACGCCAUUGAAUCUCAUAUUUUCGACCAGUUCACAAAUAAUGGAGAAAAUAUGAGUUAUGAUGACUUGUAUGAAGCUCUGGAGAAGGUGAUAGAAGACAUGGCUUCUAUCGAAGAGGAGGCCAAGCUAAUUCAAGGGAGAGUUGGAGUCCAACAUCAGCUGCCUCCUGAUUCGUCGAGAUCUUCUUCGAUUCUGCAGCAGAGUAGCAUAGUUGGUGCUGAUGAUGUCAAGUUUCAAAUGAUGGACAAGCUCACUUCUCAUUGCCAUGAUCUAGAAAUCACUUCCAUUGUAGGGAUGGGCGGCUCGGGUUCGAUUCACUCAUAUUCAUCGAGAAGGCAACCGUUCAACAGAUUUUAUGGCCCACCAUGGAUUAUUGGUUCCAUCUAUCAUGUAAUUCUUAUGAUAAUAUAACUUGGUUGCUGAUCGCUGUAAUUCUAAUAUACCAUGCAGUUUUAUGUAAUGGCCUAAAAGUUGGAUUAGACUCAUAUGAUUUAAUAAUUUGUUAGUAAUAUGAACUGUGGGGAAGCCACAAGUCAAGUGGCGAAUUCAAUCUACUCAUAAUUUUAUACUCCCUCCGUCCCACUUCAAAUGUCUCAUUUUCUAUUUUGGGUUGUUCCACUCCAAAUGUCUCAUUUCCUUUUUUGGAAAUAUACUCUCUUUCUAUACUUAAUAUUUAAACAAUUUUCACCAACCAACUUUAUCUACUUUAUACCCACUUUAUCUACUUUAUACACAUUUCUUAAUCUCCGUGCCCAAAAGAAAGGAGACAUUUGGAGCGGGACGGAGGGAAUACCAUUUAAGAGGUAAGUCUGGACAUGUGACAUUUUGAUCCUCUCCUCCACACUCCUUUUUUAUCCCUUUCAAGACUUUAUUUUCUAUUUCUGUUUAAUGAACCGUGCAUAGUCUAUUACUUGCAGAAAUCAUCGUGCUGCAAAUAAAGUUAGAGCCAAAUUUAAGGUUUGUAUAAUCCACAUGUUGCCCUGUUGAACAAAAAGUAAAAAUGAUUUGCAUUAACCAUUUUAGGCAUACUGUUGCCUUUCCAUAGACGGGUAUGUUUUCUAUUUGGCACAACCGAUUUGUUGAAAUAAUUUGGAGAUGAUAAUAUGUGAAUGGACUAUAGUGCUGCUCAAGUCGCUAUCUUUCAGUGUUAAUGCUAGCUGUAAACUGACAAAUUAAUAGAGGUAGAUAGGAAACAUUACUCCAUGUGGGCAUACUUUGAGAAUUCAUAAUUAAUUCAUUCACACUCUCUCAUCUUCAUUCUAUUCUGCAACUCCCAAAACAACCAUGGCAGCUGCUUAUGCAACUCUAGUUUCUGCUAUGAAUAUCAUAAACAACCUUCACCAUCAUCCUACCCCUCCUGUUUCUCUCCAUGUUAAACACGUUGAGUCUCUCACUCAAAAGAUUCAUUUCCUGCUCGAAUUUCUCGAGGGCUAUAACCCCCAUCGUGGCUACUCCAAAGAAGCGGAUCCAUUGGAGUGUCGCAUUGCAGAUGCAGCUUAUGCGGCCGAACACGCCAUUGAAUCUCAUAUUUUCGAUCAGCUCACAAAUAAUGGACAAAAUACUGUUCAUCAAUCAAAAAGAAGAAAAAAAUAUAUGAGUUAUGAUGACCUUUGUGAAGCUCUCGAGAAGGUGAUAAAAGACAUGACUUCUAUCGAAGAGGAGGCCAAACAAAUUCAAGGGAGAGUUGGAGUCCAACAUCAGCUGCACACAAAGUCAAUGCCUUUGGAUUCGUCGAGAUCUUCUUCGAUCCCAGAGCACAGUAACAUGGUGGGUGCUGAUGAUGUCAAGCGUCAAGUGAUGGAUAAGCUCACUUCUCAUUGCCGCAAUCUCCAAAUCAUUCCCAUUGUAGGGAUGGGCGGGUCCGGUAAGACCACUCUUGCUAGAACUAUUUAUGAGGAACGUCUUAUUAAGAAGCAUUUUUAUAUUUGUGCUUGGGCGACCAUCUCUCAAGAAUAUAGCAUUAGAGAAAUUUUUGCAACUGUUCUUCAUCAGUUCAAUAUAGGAGUGGAUGACGACUCGAGGGAGCAUGAAUUAGGAGAAAAGUUGUAUAAACAGCUAUAUGAUAGAAGAUACCUAAUUAUAAUGGAUGAUAUGUGGAGCUUUGAAGCAUGGGAUAAAGUUAGGAAUUAUUUUCCUGAUAACAAAAAUGGUAGUAGAAUAGUGGUAACAACAAGGCUAUCAGAUUUGGCUUCUACACUAACGAACUCUAAUAGCCUUGGGAUGGAACUUUUGGAUGAGGCUGAUAGUUGGGAGCUUCUCUCCAAAACUGUGUUUGGGAAAGAAGGUUGCCCUCUUGAAUUGGAGGAAAUCGGGAAAAAGAUUGGAAAAAGUUGCAAAGGACUUCCAUUGUCAAUUGUUGUGGUGGGAGGCCUUUUGGCCAAGUCCAAGCAUACAAGAGAGUGUUGGGAAGAGAUAGGGGAAAACUUGAAUGCAAGUGUCGUUAAUUUAGAGGAUGAUAAACGUUGCUUGAAAAUACUAUACAUGAGUUACAAUCAAUUGCCAAUACAUUUGAAACCUUGUUUUCUCUAUAUGGGAGUUUUUUACGAAGAUAAGGAAAUUGAAAUCUCGGACCUUAUUAAAUAUUGGGUUGCAGAGGGAUUUCUGAAAGCAGUAAGUGGGAAAAGCUUGGAAGAGAUAGCAAAAGUGUAUUUAAAAGACCUUAUUGGUAGAAAUCUUGUUUUAAGGAGUACCAAUUACUGGGGAAAGAAGUGUUGCCAAAUUCAUGAUUUGUUGAGGGACUUGUGCUUGCGAGAAGCUGAAAAAGAAAGGUUUUAUAAUAGUGCAUCAGAUAAUGCAGCCAUAAGCGUCUUGCCGCCUAUGUCACAAGCUCGUUCUUUGACGUGGAAUGUUGGACCAAAACUAUCACCUCUCAAUAUGAGCUUGUUGAGGAUACUGAAAACAACUCACGGUUCAAAAUGGGUCGAAAAAGAUUUAUUGGGACACAUGGAUCAAUUAGUUAACUCACGCUUCCUUCGAAUAGGUUUUUUAGAAAUAAGAGACGGGAUUUUUCCAAGUUCAAUAUGGCGAUUUUGGAAUCUACAAACACUAAUUGUUGACACCUACACCUACGAUGAGGUUAUUAUUGCACCAACUGAUUUUUGGUGCAUGCCUCGCAUCAGGCAUGUUGAGUUCAAAAAUCUUCGUCUCCCAGAUCCUCCUAACGACCAAGAUGACAUUGUUUUGGAAAAUCUGCAAAGUUUGGGGGCAGUAUUUGAUUUCAAGUGUAGCGAACAAGUGGUCAAAAAAAUUCCCAAUAUAAAAGAAUUGGGUUUUUAUAAUUUUGGAGAUGAUGAGAUGUAUUGUUUGAGCAAUCUCGAUUGUCUAAACUAAACUUGAGUCCUUGGAUUGCACUUUUUCUGGAAAGUGUGUAAUCAACUUUCCCCAUUCGCUCAAGAGAUUGAAUCUUCGUGGCAACAAUUAUUGUUGGGAUGACAUAAUGGAUAAGGUAGGUGUGUUACCCCAUCUUCAGAAGCUCACACUCAGGUGGGGGGAGUUCAAGGAAGGGAAGUGGGAAACAACUGAAGGCCAAUUCCGCAGCCUCAAAUUCUUGACUCUUAAACGUAGUCUUACUCUAGAAAUCUGGAAAACUGAAAGCUCCCACUUUCCAUGCCUUGAGCGCCUUCGUCUUCUUUACGUAGAUAAGUUGCAGGAAAUCCCUUUAGAUUUCGCAGAAAUACCCACACUUAGAGAAAUUGUUGUGCGCGGUUGCUGCGAUUCGGCAGUGGUUUCUGCAAAAAGAAUAUCAGAGGAACACGAGGACUAUUACGGGGAAGGAGCCCUUCAUGUUCGCGUUGGCCUCUGGGGUAUGAACAACGCAGAAGUGGAGAGCCUGGCUAGUCCUAACUUUUGUGUUGAACGUAUCAACUACUAAGUGCAGGUAGUGUGUGGGGAAAGCGCACACCACACAAUGAAAUGAAUCCAUUGAUGCGUGGUUGGGAGGGAGCGGCAGAGAAAUGAUUUUGAUGAUUUUGACACCAUUCCUUCUAAAUUCAACAUAUGAGGAAGGAGAAACUGAAAAACAUGGCCCUUUCCGUGACUUGUGGUUUUGGAUAUAUAGGAGAAAAAUCUCACACUUUGCUAUGAUAUAAAAGUCGGGAAUGGAAGCCUUUGUAAAGAUGAGAUUAUUAGAUUUUGUUUAUUUAUUUAGGCUGCGUUUACUUUCAUGGAUAAGUUUAUUCAUAGAAAAUGAUGGAUAACAAAAAUUUAUGCCUUGAAAUGUUUCAUUUCUUUUCCAACAUUUGACACACAAAAGAGAUGUUCACAAUUUUUCCUUCUUUAUUUUCACUUCAAUGAUGGAUAAUAUUAUCUACUUAAGAAAAAAAAAAAAGGAGACAUUUUAAGGCAUAAAUUUUUGUUAUCCAUCCUUUUCCAUGGAUCAAUUUAUCCAUAAAAGUAAACGCAGCCUAAAAGACAAAAAAUGAGCACAAUUUAUUUUGGUCUUACUUGAUGAAAGAUGUUGCAUAAAAAAUUAUUCUCUCACUUGUUUUGAUGGUUCUUGAUCAUGAAACAAGUGCAU